rnacentral:rRNA from 1 species
UCCUACGGGAGGCAGCAGUGGGGAAUAUUGCACAAUGGGGGAAACCCUGAUGCAGCGACGCCGCGUGAGUGAAGAAGUAUUUCGGUAUGUAAAGCUCUAUCAGCAGGGAAGAAAAUGACGGUACCUGACUAAGAAGCCACGGCUAACUACGUGCCAGCAGCCGCGGUA